AACUGAUAUAGUUAAUUCAUUUUUGAGAUUUAAUUUUUUUUAAUUUUUUUUUCCAAUUUUGUUCUUUGUAGAAAACUAAUCCACAAGAAGAUAUAUACAUUUUUUUUCUUUUCCAAUCCCGUACCUUCCCCAUUCGUUUAUGUUUUUCCAUCUUACCAUCCUUCAAUAAACAGUAUAUCAAAUGUAAGUAUACACAAAAAUCAUCCCAUUUAUAGAUUUUAAACUAAAUAGGCACAUGACACACGCACACAUUCACUCAAUCCUAAAACCGC
rnacentral:lncRNA from 1 species